rnacentral:rRNA from 1 species
CGAAUGCUGACAUAAGUAACGAUAAAGCGGGUGAAAAGCCCGCUCGCCGGAAGACCAAGGGUUCCUGUCCAACGUUAAUCGGGGCAGGGUGAGUCGACCCCUAAGGCGAGGCCGAAAGGCGUAGUCGAUGGGAAACAGGUUAAUAUUCCUGUACUUGGUGUUACUGCGAAGGGGGGACGGAGAAGGCUAUGUUGGCCGGGCGACGGUUGUCCCGGUUUAAGCGUGUAGGCUGGUUUUCCAGGCAAAUCCGGAAAAUCAAGGCUGAGGCGUGAUGACGAGGCACUACGGUGCUGAAGCAACAAAUGCCCUGCUUCCAGGAAAAGCCUCUAAGCAUCAGGUAACAUCAAAUCGUACCCCAAACCGACACAGGUGGUCAGGUAGAGAAUACCAAGGCGCUUGAGAGAACUCGGGUGAAGGAACUAGGCAAAAUGGUGCCGUAACUUCGGGAGAAGGCACGCUGAUAUGUAGGUGAAGUCCCUCGCGGAUGGAGCUGAAAUCAGUCGAAGAUACCAGCUGGCUGCAACUGUUUAUUAAAAACACAGCACUGUGCAAACACGAAAGUGGACGUAUACGGUGUGACGCCUGCCCGGUGCCGGAAGGUUAAUUGAUGGGGUUAGCGCAAGCGAAGCUCUUGAUCGAAGCCCCGGUAAA